CACGAGUCGUUCGCGACGGUUUAUCAACGCAGUUAUCGCAUUCCGAUUAGAAUCCCCGUGGCGUGUGCAUAGCUAUACAAACACGCGUGUAGGCGAGACAGAAAUCUCUCUCUCUCUUGUGACUUCGCGAUUUUUCUUCC